rnacentral:misc_RNA from 1 species
UCUCCGUUGGUGAACCAGCGGAGGGAUCAUUACAGGACUCGCAAGACUCCUACAACCCUGUGAACUUAACUAUAAGCACGUUGCUUCGGCGGGUGUCUCGGAGGGGGUUCUCCCUCCCCGAGACGCUAAACCCGCCGGCAGCCUACUAUACUCUGUCUCUUUGCGUUGGCAUCUCGAGUACAAUCUAACAAGUUAAAACUUUCAACAACGGAUCUCUUGGUUCUG